UGAGAAAUGCAGACCUCUGGAGGAGCCAAUGACAUUCCGUUGACUGAAGUCCUCCUUAGAGCCUAGCAGCACUGAGUUCUCACAGAAACAGAAGGAAGACCUCCAAAGAGCAACCGAACACAAACUUUUCAUUGGAAGGCGUUUUCUUACUCUUUUGCAAACCAUUUAUGCAAAUGAGAAGUCACAGUUCUCUGGCUGCUGCCCAUCCAAGAGUGUCAAGUGUAAAAUGCAGCACCAGCAGUGACAAUUUUUGACAAGCUGAUUAGAGAACAUCACUUGGUUCAUCAGCGAGGCUGGACAUCCUCUAUGAAUUAGAAAUAUGUGUGCACCUAGUGCAUGGCAGAGGUAGGCAGCUUCAAGCCUUCCCCGAGAGAUGGUCAUGGAGUCACAAACCAUCUUGAGCCCUCUUUGCAAGGAGGCUAAGCUUGAAAGGAAGAGAGAGGAGGGGGUUGUUGGUGCAUACUCAGCUCCUUCUUCCAAACUCACGCAUGAGAUAAACCCUCUCCUUUCCAAGAGUGGACUGAAUGAAGGUGUGGAGACAAACUGGAAGACAACCUCCAAGGUCACAGAUAAAAUGUCAAAGACUGAGGCUUUGAACCCAGGCCACCCUAACUUCAGCAUCUAUGUACUUAACACUCCCUGCAAUACCCCCAACAUAUAUUUGUAGGGGCAGGUGAAUGAAGGGAUUAUGACUGAUUUCCAGAGUACUAAGAGUUACUUCUCAUUUGAAAUUAUCACUGGGUUAAACACGCCAUAAUUAAUAACCAUGUAGACUAAUUGGUGAGCUGUAAAUAUAUUCAGGGAAAGGGAUAUGAUGGAUUUCAGUUGCAUAUGCUAGAAGCACUAAUGCGAUUGAAAACAUGCCCUGUUGCUGUUAUAAAUGUGUGAUCCAGUAUUUCUUGAAUACGAAAUGUGGUGGGAUGCUCUGU